rnacentral:rRNA from 1 species
GAGCCCCUACGGGACGCAGCAGUGAGGAAUAUUGGUCAAUGGGCGAGAGCCUGAACCAGCCAAGUCGCGUGAGGGACGACGGCCCUACGGGUUGUAAACCUCUUUUGCCGGGGGACAAACGGCGGCACGCGUGCCGUCCUGAGGGUACCCGGAGAAAAAGCAUCGGCUAACUCCGUGCCAGCAGCCGCGGGAAUACGGAGGAUGCGAGCGUUAUCCGGAUUUAUUGGGUUUAAAGGGUGCGUAGGCGGGAGGCAAAG